rnacentral:rRNA from 1 species
GACGAACGCUGGCGGCGUGCUUAACACAUGCAAGUCGAACGAUGAACCGGUUUCGGCCGGGGAUUAGUGGCGAACGGGUGAGUAACACGUGGGCAAUCUGCCCUGCACUCUGGGAUAAGCCCGGGAAACUGGGUCUAAUACCGGAUACGACACUCCGAGGCAUCUUGGGGUGUGGAAAGUUCCGGCGGUGCAGGAUGAGCCCGCGGCCUAUCAGCUUGUUGGUGGGGUAAUGGCCUACCAAGGCGACGACGGGUAGCCGGCCUGAGAGGGUGACCGGCCACACUGGGACUGAGACACGGCCCAGACUCCUACGGGAGGCAGCAGUGGGGAAUACUGCACAAUGGGCGAAAGCCUGAUGCAGCGACGCCGCGUGAGGGAUGACGGCCUUCGGGUUGUAAACCUCUUUCAGCAGGGAAGAAGCGAAAGUGACGGUACCUGCAGAAGAAGCACCGGCUAACUACGUG